CACAUGCUUGAGUGGAUGUGUUUAAUGUGAGCCAGGGAAGAGCUGUUCUCCUCCCCAGGGUGCUUCAUCCUUAUUUUCCCACUGAGAUUGUGCAUAUGUACAGCACUGACUUUUCAGAGAAGCUGAACCAAUGGGAGCUGUAAAACUGCAACUUAUGUUCCAGCCCAUAUGUACUUUGGCUUUGUGGUAGAGAAAGAAAAAAUAUCCCUUCUAUGAUCUGCUGCUGUGGUCCAGGAGACUCCCAGAUGAGAGGGAAGGAGAGACCCAGUUGCUCUUCACCAUGAACAGCUCAGAGCUCAGUUCAGCCCUGAGAGAGGCUGCAGAGAUGCCUCCAGCUCAGUUGCAGGGGAAUGCCUGGGAACAUGAUCCUGAUGCAUUACAAGGCUCAGAAACCAGAUGCCAAAUGAGUACCCAAACCAUGGUGCCAUUUUUGGGUAUCCAAAGCUUUAAGGUAAUCUAAGGAUGCUCUGAGUCUUCACCCACGUUUUCUGAGUGUGGAAGGGCUCAGCAGAAAGCAAAGCUUCACAUUUCAUGAAGGCAAAUAAAGCCUUCAGGGGUGCCAAUAUUCUCCAUCUCCCCUCUCUUGCUUGCUUGUUUCUGAUUUUCUUCCUGCCUGUGCUUUGCCUUCCACAUUGUGAGUACCCACAUUCCUCACAGUGUAAAAAAAAACCCAAAAAAACCACAAAUAAAUCUUUGCUUGAACAAGUAGUUUUAAAUCAAAAUUUUACAUACAAGUAAUGUCAAGGCUUUAAACUCUCCCAUCUGUUGUUACAUGCUUGUAGAGUGCACUUUGCUGGGGGAUACAGCUCAUGGCUCUCAGGACUACUGUAACACAACAGCCACCACAGCUACAGAUGCUUCUACUACCAAUAAAACAGAAUUGUUAAGUAGA